UCCUCUUCUUUUGUUCUUUAAUAAGCCUCUUCGUCUUAUUUUGUUCUUUAAUAUAAUAAGUUACGUCUUUAAUUUCCUUUGAAAAAAGAGUAACGCUAUUUCUUCUUCUUUCAGCCUAUUUUAUUUGAAUGGAACUACAGAAGCAAAUGUACUCCAAUUCUUACCACCAUUUUACUGCUGAAGGCCGCAAUAUGAAAGAGAGGAUGUGUAGUAUUGGAAUUGGCUAGAAAAAGUUCAGUAUCCCUCUUACACUUUGAUGCAAAACUAUCAACAAAUGAUUUGCUUAUAUCAAGGAACUUCAAUUUUGUUGCUCCAAAUUCAUCUCUAGAACUCUACAUAUUUUUACGAGAUCGAGCAGUGAUCAAUAGGGUCGAGACCGAGCAGUGAUCAAUAAGGCCGAGCAGUGAUCAAUAAGGCCGUGACCGAGCAGUGAUCAACAAGGUCGAGCAAUGCAGAUAGAAGUAACGGCUAGUUUUGCUUUGAAAUCUUCAAAGGGAAUUUCUACCGAAUAUUCCCUCUAAUUGUACUCUUUUUUAGGGUUUUCUAGGGAUAUCCCUUAUAAAUAGGAAGAGAGGGGGCAGACUCUCUCUCUAGAAAAUAUGUAAACACAUCUCUCUAAAGAGAAUAGAUUAU